GAUGAACGCUGGCGGCGUGCCUAAUACAUGCAAGUCGAGCGAACAGACGAGGAGCUUGCUCCUCUGACGUUAGCGGCGGACGGGUGAGUAACACGUGGAUAACCUACCUAUAAGACUGGGAUAACUUCGGGAAACCGGAGCUAAUACCGGAUAAUAUAUUGAACCGCAUGGUUCAAUAGUGAAAGACGGUUUUGCUGUCACUUAUAGAUGGAUCCGCGCCGCAUUAGCUAGUUGGUAAGGUAACGGCUUACCAAGGCGACGAUGCGUAGCCGACCUGAGAGGGUGAUCGGCCACACUGGAACUGAGACACGGUCCAGACUCCUACGGGAGGCAGCAGUAGGGAAUCUUCCGCAAUGGGCGAAAGCCUGACGGAGCAACGCCGCGUGAGUGAUGAAGGUCUUCGGAUCGUAAAACUCUGUUAUUAGGGAAGAACAAAUAUGUAAGUAACUAUGCACGUCUUGACGGUACCUAAUCAGAAAGCCACGGCUAACUACGUG
rnacentral:rRNA from 1 species